rnacentral:rRNA from 1 species
GCUUGUUGGUGGGGUAACGGCCUACCAAGGCGACGACGGGUAGCUGGUCUGAGAGGACGAUCAGCCACACUGGGACUGAGACACGGCCCAGACUCCUACGGGAGGCAGCAGUAGGGAAUCUUGCUCAAUGGGCGAAAGCCUGAAGCAGCGACGCCGCGUGCGGGAUGAAGGCCUUCGGGUUGUAAACCGCUUUCAGCAGGGACGAAAUUGACGGUACCUGCAGAAGAAGGCCCGGCCAACUACGUGCCAGCAGCCGCGGUAAUACGUAGGGGCCUAGCGUUGUCCGGAUUUAUUGGGCGUAAAGAGCUCGUAGGCGGCUUGGUUAGUCAGGUGUGAAAUCUCCACGCUCAACGUGGAGGGGCCACCUGAUACUGCCAUGGCUUGAGUCCGGUAGGGGAGUGUGGAAUUCCCGGUGUAGCGGUGAAAUGCGCAGAUAUCGGGAGGAACACCCGUAGCGAAGGCGGCACUCUGGGCCGGUACUGACGCUGAGGAGCGAAAGCGUGGGGAACAAACAGGAUUAGAUACCCUGGCAGUCCACGCCGUAAACGUUGGGCACUAGGUGUGGGACUCUAUCGACGGGUUCCGUGCCGUAGCUAACGCAUUAAGUGCCCCGCCUGGGGAGUACGG